CCUUGAUGUCCUCACGGACUGGAGAUUCAUGACUAAGAGCUCUCCUCAAUGUAUGCAGGUCUCUAUUCAAGUGGAUGACGGGAAAUGUAUGAGGGAUAGAGAGGAAUAAGUUUUCUGGAACACGUCUUUGUAGUGUAUGGUGGGUACAAGUAAUGUUAGAUUCAAAAUUUAGAGCUUUUGCCAAUAAUAAGUAGCAAAAUUCAGGAUUGCUGAGAAGGGAGGUGAACCUAAUGGCUUCAGUACUAUUGUUACGAUACUAUGUUGCUUCCAGGCUAUCGAUGAGAAUAGUUCAGUCGCUUUAGAGAUUGUUGAACAUAUGAAAUUGAUUGUAAUCUCUGGGCACCCUCAAGUUAAGCUGCUUGAAGACCAAGUUCA